rnacentral:ncRNA from 1 species
CCAUCUGUUUCGUAGUGAUUGCAGGUUACUCCGACAGGUAGAGUAGAAAGUAAAUUCGUUAGGGUUAAAAGGCUGAAGUUUCCACUUCAGCCUUUUUU